AGCCAACCGACUUAUCGCACGCGGCGCAAAGAUUCCUGUACUUCGAUUCUACGAGUGAGAGGAUCAAAGUAAUUCUGCAUAAGCGAAGUGUUCGGCGCUUAAAUGUUCAUAGAAGAACAUAUGAAUAAACAGUAGAAUAAACAAUCGAGCAUUCAUCUUCGGUGUGUAGCCAAGCAACAUUUGAAGACAAAAGAUUUAUAUAGCACUAUUCAACACCUACUUGAAUUUGUAAUCAACUUAAUUCUGUUUAAACUGAGGGUGAUAUUUGAAGUACAGAAUAUAGAAACGUUCGUCGAACAUUACAUUAAUCUUUUACGAGAAGUACCAUCAAAAUCAGUUUCGAUGGAACACUUUGAUUGGAAGCUACGACGACAUUAGUGAAACA